AGGGCACCACCAGGAGUGGAGCCUGCGGCUUAAUUUGACUCAACACGGGAAGACUCACCCGGCCCGGACACUGGGAGGAUUGACAGAUUGAGAGCUCUUUCUUGAUUCAGUGGGUGGUGGUGCAUGGCCGUUCUUAGUUGGUGGAGUGAUUUGUCUGGUUAAUUCCGAUAACGAACGAGACUCUAGCCUACUAAAUAGAUCGUCGGCUUACAAACGUCGGCGAGACUUCUUAGAGGGACAGGCGGUGAUUCAACCGCACGAAACAGAGCAAUAACAGGUCUGUGAUGCCCUUAGAUGUCCGGGGCCGCACGCGCGCUACACUGAAGUGAUCAGCGUGCUUUUUCAACCUACUCUGUCAAGAGUGGGGAACCCAAUGAACCUUCUUCGUGAUUGGGAUAGGGGAUUGUAAUUGUUCCCCUUGAACGAGGAAUUCCCAGUAAGCGCGAGUCAUAAGCUCGCGUUGAUUACGUCCCUGCCCUUUGUACACACCGCCCGUCGCUACUACCGAUUGAAUGUUUU
rnacentral:rRNA from 1 species